UACGUAGGGUGCAAGCGUUGUCCGGAAUUAUUGGGCGUAAAGAGCUCGUAGGCGGUUUGUCGCGUCGAAUGUGAAAACCCGGGGCUCAACUCCGGGCCUGCAUUCGAUACGGGCAGACUAGAGUUCGGUAGGGGAGUCUGGAAUUCCUGGUGUAGCGGUGAAAUGCGCAGAUAUCAGGAGGAACACCGGUGGCGAAGGCGGGACUCUGGGCCGAUACUGACGCUGAGGAGCGAAAGCGUGGGGAGCAAACGGG
rnacentral:rRNA from 1 species